GAUGAACGCUGGCGGCGUGCCUAAUACAUGCAAGUCGAGCGAAUGGAUUAAGAGCUUGCUCUUAUGAAGUUAGCGGCGGACGGGUGAGUAACACGUGGGUAACCUGCCCAUAAGACUGGGAUAACUCUGGGAAACCGGGGCUAAUACCGGAUAACAUUUUGAACCGCAUGGUUCGAAAUUGAAAGGCGGCUUCGGCUGUCACUUAGGGAUGGACCCGCGUCGCAUUAGCUAGUUGGUGAGGGAACGGCUCACCAAGGCAACGAUACGUAGCCGACCUGAGAGGGUGAUCGGCCACACUGGGACUGAGACACGGCCCAGACUCCUACGGGAGGCAGCAGUAGGGAAUCUUCCGCAAUGGACGAAAGUCUGACGGAGCAACGCCGCGUGAGUGAUGAAGGCUUUCGGGUCGUAAAACUCUGUUGUUAGGGAAGAACAAGUGCUAGUUGAAUAAGCUGACACCUUGACGGUACCUAACCAGAAAGCCACGGCUAACUACGUGCCAGCAGCCGCCGUAA
rnacentral:rRNA from 1 species